rnacentral:rRNA from 3 species
UUAAAUUGAAGAGUUUGAUCAUGGCUCAGAUUGAACGCUGGCGGCAGGCCUAACACAUG